UUCCGGUUGAUCCCGCCGGACCCGACUGCUAUUUGGGUGAGAAUAAGCCAUGCGAGUUGAAUGGGAUACCUAAAGUUCCCAUAGCAAACUGCUCAGUAACACAUGAUCAACUUACCCUAUAGAGAAAAAUAACCUCGGGAAACUGAGGAUAAUGUUUCAUAAUUGAAUUGGCUUGGAAAAGUUUUUCAAUGAAAGGGAUAAAAAAAAUGGUUUUUAUCUGCUAUAGGAUAGGAUCGUGUUCGAUUAUGGUUGUUGGUGAGAUAAUGGCUCACCAAGCCGAUAAUCGAUAGGGGCCGUGAGAGCGGGAGCCCCGAGAUGGGUACUGAGACAACGACCCAGGCCUUACGAGGCGCAGCAGGCGCGGAACCUCCGCAAUACACGAAAGUGUGACGGGGUUACCCAAAGUGUUCAAUAGAACUGUGGUAGGUGAGUAAUGUCCCCUACUAGAAAGGAGAGGGCAAGGCUGGUGCCAGCCGCCGCGGUAAAACCAGCUCUUCAAGUGGUCGGGAUAAUUAUUGGGCUUAAAGUGUCCGUAGCCGGUUUAGUAAGUUCCUGGUAAAAUCGGGUAGCUUAACUAUCUGCAUGCUAGGAAUACUGCUAUACUAGAGGGCGGGAGAGGUCUGAGGUACUACAGGGGUAGGGGUGAAAUCUUAUAAUCCUUGUAGGACCACCAGUGGCGAAGGCGUCAGACUGGAACGCGCCUGACGGUGAGGGACGAAAGCCAGGGGAGCGAACCGGAUUAGAUACCCGGGUAGUCCUGGCCGUAAACGAUGCAUACUAGGUGAUGGUACGGCCAUGAGCCGUAUCAGUGCCGUAGGGAAACCGUUAAGUGUGCCGCCUGGGAAGUACGGUCGCAAGGCUAAAACUUAAAGGAAUUGGCGGGGGAGCACCACAAGGGGUGAAGCCUGCGGUUCAAUUGGAUUCAACGCCGGG
rnacentral:rRNA from 1 species